rnacentral:sRNA from 1 species
GUCGUGAGAUGUUGGGUUAAGUCCCGCAACGAGCGCAACCCUCAUUGUCAGUUGCCAUCAUUUAGUUGGGCACUCUGACGAAACUGCCGGUGACAAGCCGGAGGAAGGCGGGGAUGACGUCAAGUCCUCAUGGCCCUUAUGGGCUGGGCUACACACGUGCUACAAUGGCGGUGACAGUGGGGUGCAAGACCGCAAGGUGGAGCAAAUCCCAAAAAGCCGUCUCAGUUCAGAUUGCACUCUGCAACUCGAGUGCAUGAAGGUGGAAUCGCUAGUAAUCGUGGAUCAGCAUGCCACGGUGAAUACGUUCCCGGGCCUUGUACACACCGCCCGUCACACCAUGGGAGUUGGUUUUACCCGAAGCCGGUGCGCUAACCGCAAGGAGGCAGCCGACCACGGUAAGGUCAGCGACUGGGGUGAAGUCGUAACAAGGUAGCCGUAGGGGAACCUGCGGCUGGAUCACCUCCUUUCUAAGGAAAAACGUCAGGCAACGAGCCUACUGCCGAGCGAUCGGCGGGAGUUCCUGCAUGUACAGGGAAUUCCUAGGCCACCGUCUCCGCAUCCCUUCUCCGGAUCUGAUCGAGCAAGCUGGCCGCGCGUGUCAUGCGCAGCGGCCCUGUUUGCUUGGAACGAGCUCUAGGGGCUAGUAGCUCAGUUGGUUAGAGCACACGCUUGAUAAGCGUGGGGUCGGAGGUUCAAGUCCUCCCUGGCCCACCAGCCUACGCUGCGGGCAGCGUAGGCUGUCCGCCGAAGCCCGACAGGGCGAAGGUGGACUGCAGCCGAUUUCGCGCAGCUUCGGCUGGCAGGCCAUUUUCAGGUAAUUGCGAAACCGGGGGCGUAGCUCAGUUGGGAGAGCGCUAGCUUUGCAAGCUUGAGGUCGUCGGUUCGAUCCCGUCCGCCUCCACCAGUUUCGUGGAUGCGGCGGACUCGAGUGAGCGUCGUGAGUAAGAUCCGGAGCGGUUAAGAGUUUCGGGGCCCGUCAAGGGCGCCGAUCGCGGCCGGGAUUCGGCUUUGCGGAUAUUGGACACGUAAAUAGGGUUUUCUAGACCAAGGUAGCCUGCUUUCGGGGCGCCCUGCUAAAGGUCUGGGUGGCGUUCGGCCGGAAUGCUUUGCAUUUCAUACGGCGCCGUCUUCGGAUCCGAGGGCUCUUUGUGGGCAGGUUAAUUUGAUGCUGAGUACCGUCCGGCCGGUCUUGCCGGAUGGUUAGUGAUCAGGCGGCGCGGCGACGAAAUCGUCCCUGCGCGCGGUCCUGAAUUUUCAAGCGAAUUAAGGGCAUUUGGUGGAUGCCUUGGCACUGAGAGGCGAUGAAGGACGUGACACGCUGCGAUAAGCCGUGGGGAGCUGCGAGUAAGCUUUGAUCCGCGGAUUU